GACGAACGCUGGCGGCGUGCUUAACACAUGCAAGUCGAACGGAAAGGCCCUGCUUGCAGGGUACUCGAGUGGCGAACGGGUGAGUAACACGUGGGUGAUCUGCCCUGCACUUCGGGAUAAGCUUGGGAAACUGGGUCUAAUACCGGAUAGGAACCAUCUUUAGUGUGGUGGUUGGAAAGUUUUUUCGGUGUAGGAUGAGCUCGCGGCCUAUCAGCUUGUUGGUAGGGUAAUGGCCUACCAAGGCGGCGACGGGUAGCCGGCCUGAGAGGGUGUACGGCCACAUUGGGACUGAGAUACGGCCCAGACUCCUACGGGAGGCAGCAGUGGGGAAUAUUGCACAAUGGGCGCAAGCCUGAUGCAGCGACGCCGCGUGGGGGAUGAAGGCCUUCGGGUUGUAAACUCCUUUCGCUAGGGACGAAGCUUUUUGUGACGGUACCUAGAUAAGAAGCACCGGCUAACUACGUG
rnacentral:rRNA from 1 species